rnacentral:rRNA from 1 species
CAAUAGCGUAUAUUAAAGUUGUUGCAGUUAAAAAGCUCGUAGUUGAAUUUUUGCUUGCCGCCGAUGUCGGAACUUCCGUACGUUCGGCGGCGUGCAUCCUUGGGUGGAACCUGUGUGGCAUUAGGUUGUCGUGCAGGGGAUGCUCAUCGUUUACUGUGAAAAAAUUAGAGUGUUCAAAGCAGGCUUACGCCGUUGAAUAUAUUAGCAUGGAAUAAUAAGAUAGGACCUUGGUACUAUGUUGUUGGUUUGCGCACCGAGGUAAUGAUUAACAGGGACAGUUGGGGGUAUUCGUAUUCCAUUGUCAGAGGUGAAAUUCUUGGAUUUCUGGAAGACGAACUACUGCGAAAGCAUUUACCAAGGAUGUUUUCAUUAA